rnacentral:misc_RNA from 1 species
CUGAUCACAGUUCUGAUUUAAUAAUAACACGUUUUGCUCUAUGAUAUGAGAUAGCCAUUGUAAUAAAUUAUUAGAAUUUUUAGAAAAUGAAUAAUGAUAAACCGUUCAAUCCAUAUAUCACCGUUGAUGAGGAAGAAAUAGUUAUCCCUGAUAUUGCUGGACGAUUUCCUAAUUCGGAUAAUAUAAAAGAAUUUCAGGAUAAUCUUUUCAAUAAAAUGGAUCUCGUUUCAAAGGAUCAUCAACGCUAAACCAAUUGAAAAAUAAACAAUUUAGAAAAAUUUGAUGCAGAAUUUUUUAAUAUGUCGAUCGAAGAAGCUCAUACGCUUGAUCCUGGAAUUAGAAUAUUGUUCGAAAGCACCUAUGCAGCAAUUAUUGACGCAGGUAUCAAUCCCGCAGAACUGCAGGGAACAAGGACGACAGUUAUCACAGCAAUGUCAGUUUGUAAUACAUAUCUCGAUGUAUUAUACGAAAAGCUUCAUGUUGCUGGAUUGCCAUUCUUGGUUGUAGUAAAAAUAUGUUGGCAAAUAGAAUUUCUAACUGACUCAACGACUGGACCAUCAUAUAACAUCGAUACUGCAUGUAGCUCGACCUAUUUCGCUAUGGUGGAAGCUUACAAUUUGAUUCGAUCUGGAAUUUGCGACGCGGCUAUUGUCGCUAGUAUCAAUUUGUGUAUUCAUUCUUUUGUAACUUAUCAGUUUUAUCGUCUGGGUAUGUGACAGAUAAUAUUAUGUUCAAAAACGUAUUUGAGAUUGUUAAAUGGUAUAACUUAUUUAUUGAUGCAUUAAUUAACACCAUAUUUGAUCUAAUAGU